rnacentral:lncRNA from 1 species
CUUGCUUCAUUGAAUUUCAAAUUUCGACAGAAAAAAAGAUAUUUAAAAUCACGCAUGUGCUUGCAUUUGUGAAAUAAAACUAGUUUAGAAAAAGAAUUGAAUGGAGUUGGACGUAUUACUAUGAUUCAAAAAAAAAAAAUACAAUACCACCAUAAAUAAUGUCUAUGAAUGUCGGACGGCGCAUACCAUAUUACACAAUACCAU